UUAAGUGAAUAAGGGCGCACGGUGGAUGCCUUGGCACUAGGAGCCGAUGAAGGACGGGACUAACACCGAUAUGCUUUGGGGAGCUGUACGUAAGCUAUGAUCCAGAGAUUUCCGAAUGGGGGAACCCAGCAUCUUUAAUAGGAUGUUACGAUUGUGUGAAUACAUAGCACAUUCGAGGUAGACGCAGAGAACUGAAACAUCUAAGUACCUGCAGGAAGAGAAAGAAAAUUCGAUUCCCUGAGUAGCGGCGAGCGAAACGGGAAAAGCCCAAACCAGCAAGCUUGCUUGUUGGGGUUGUAGGACUCCAAUAUGGUAGUUCUUUCAGAUAGUCGAAUGACUUGGAAAAGUCAGUCAAAGAGGGUAAAAACCCCGUAGACGAAAUGUGGAAGACACCUAGGAGGAUCCUGAGUACGGCGGAACACGAGAAAUUCCGUCGGAAUCCGGGAGGACCAUCUCCCAAGGCUAAAUACUCCCUAGUGACCGAUAGUGAACCAGUACCGUGAGGGAAAGGUGAAAAGCACCCCGGAAGGGGAGUGAAAUAGAACCUGAAACCGUGUGCCUACAACAAGUCAAAGCCCGUUAAUGGGUGAUGGCGUGCCUUUUGUAGAAUGAACCGGCGAGUUACGAUUGCAUGCGAGGUUAAGUUGAAGAGACGGAGCCGCAGCGAAAGCGAGUCUGAAUAGGGCGUUUGAGUAUGUAGUCGUAGACCCGAAACCAUGUGAUCUACCCAUGUCCAGGUUGAAGGUGCGGUAAAACGCACUGGAGGACCGAACCCACGUACGUUGAAAAGUGCGGGGAUGAGGUGUGGGUAGCGGAGAAAUUCCAAACGAACUUGGAGAUAGCUGGUUCUCUCCGAAAUAGCUUUAGGGCUAGCCUCGGAAUUGAGAAUGAUGGAGGUAGAGCACUGUUUGGACUAGGGGCCCAUCUCGGGUUACCGAAUUCAGAUAAACUCCGAAUGCCAUUCAUUCAUAUCCGGGAGUCAGACUGUGAGUGAUAAGAUCCAUAGUCGAAAGGGAAACAGCCCAGACCACCAGCUAAGGUCCCAAAAUAUAUGUUAAGUGGAAAAGGAUGUGGGGUUGCACAGACAACUAGGAUGUUGGCUUAGAAGCAGCCAUCAUUUAAAGAGUGCGUAAUAGCUCACUAGUCGAGUGACCCUGCGCCGAAAAUGUACCGGGGCUAAACAUAUUACCGAAGCUGUGGAGUACACCUUUAGGUGUAUUGGUAGGAGAGCGUUCUAAGGGCGUUGAAGGCAGAUCGUGAGGACUGCUGGAGCGCUUAGAAGUGAGAAUGCCGGUAUGAGUAGCGAAAGACAGGUGAGAAUCCUGUCCACCGAAUGACUAAGGUUUCCUGGGGAAGGCUCGUCCGCCCAGGGUUAGUCGGGACCUAAGCCGAGGCCGACAGGCGUAGGCGAUGGAUAACAGGUUGAUAUUCCUGUACCCGUUGUUUUUGUUUGAGCAAUGGAGGGACGCAGGAGGCUAAGGAAUGCAGACGAUCGGAAAUGUCUGUCCAAGCAGUAAGUCUGAAGAGGAGUCAAAUGCUUCUUUUCUUAAGGACAAGCUGUGAUGGGGAGGGAAAUAAUAGUACCGAAGUUCCUGAUGUCACACUGCCGAGAAAAGCUUCUAGUGAGAAAACAGCGGCCCGUACCGCAAACCGACACAGGUAGUCGAGGAGAGAAUCCUAAGGUGAGCGAGAGAACUCUCGUUAAGGAACUCGGCAAAAUGACCCCGUAACUUCGGGAGAAGGGGUGCUGAUCAUACGAUCAGCCGCAGUGAAUAGGCCCAAGCGACUGUUUAUCAAAAACACAGGUCUCUGCAAAAUCGUAAGAUGAAGUAUAGGGGCUGACGCCUGCCCGGUGCUGGAAGGUUAAGAGGAGUGCUUAGCGCAAGCGAAGGUACGAAUUGAAGCCCCAGUAAACGGCGGCCGUAACUAUAACGGUCCUAAGGUAGCGAAAUUCCUUGUCGGGUAAGUUCCGACCCGCACGAAAGGCGUAACGAUUUGGGCACUGUCUCAACGAGAGACUCGGUGAAAUUUUAGUACCUGUGAAGAUGCAGGUUACCCGCGACAGGACGGAAAGACCCCAUGGAGCUUUACUGUAGUUUGAUAUUGAGUGUCUGUACCGCAUGUACAGGAUAGGUAGGAGCCGUAGAAAUCGGAACGCUAGUUUCGAUGGAGGCGCUGGUGGGAUACUACCCCUGCGUUAUGGCCACUCUAACCCGCACCACUAAUCGUGGUGGGAGACAGUGUCAGAUGGGCAGUUUGACUGGGGCGGUCGCCUCCUAAAAGGUAACGGAGGCGCCCAAAGGUUCCCUCAGAAUGGUUGGAAAUCAUUCGAAGAGUGUAAAGGCAGAAGGGAGCUUGACUGCGAGACCAACAAGUCGAGCAGGGACGAAAGUCGGGCUUAGUGAUCCGGUGGUUCCGCAUGGAAGGGCCAUCGCUCAACGGAUAAAAGCUACCCUGGGGAUAACAGGCUUAUCUCCCCCAAGAGUCCACAUCGACGGGGAGGUUUGGCACCUCGAUGUCGGCUCGUCGCAUCCUGGGGCUGUAGUCGGUCCCAAGGGUUGGGCUGUUCGCCCAUUAAAGCGGCACGCGAGCUGGGUUCAGAACGUCGUGAGACAGUUCGGUCCCUAUCCGUCGCGGGCGUUGGAAAUUUGAGAGGAGCUGUCCUUAGUACGAGAGGACCGGGAUGGACUUACCGCUGGUGUACCAGUUGUUCUGCCAAGGGCAUUGCUGGGUAGCUAUGUAGGGAAGGGAUAAACGCUGAAAGCAUCUAAGUGUGAAGCCCACCUCAAGAUGAGAUUUCCCAUUUCUUUAAGAAAGUAAGAUCCCUGAGAGAUGAUCAGGUAGAUAGGUCAGGAGUGGAAGUACAGUGAUGUAUG
rnacentral:rRNA from 1 species